GAUGAACGCUAGCGAUAGGCUUAACACAUGCAAGUCGAGGGGCAGCACAAGGUAGCUUGCUAUCUGGGUGGCGACCGGCGCACGGGUGCGUAACGCGUAUGCAACUUGCCCUAUACAGGAGGAUAACCCGUCGAAAGACGGACUAAUACUGCGUAUGCUCACAACUUGGCAUCAAGUGGUGAGGAAAGAAAUUCGGUAUAGGAUAGGCAUGCGUCCCAUUAGCUUGUUGGUGAGGUAACGGCUCACCAAGGCAACGAUGGGUAGGGGAACUGAGAGGUUUAUCCCCCACACUGGUACUGGGACACGGACCAGACUCCUACGGGAGGCAGCAGUGAGGAAUAGUGGUCAAUGGGCGCGAGCCUGAACCAGCCAAGUCGCGUGAAGGAUGACUGUCUUAUGGAUUGUAAACUUCUUUUAUACGGGAAUAACAAGAGUCACGUGUGACUCCCUGCAUGUACCGUAUGAAUAAGCAUCGGCUAACUCCGUG
rnacentral:rRNA from 1 species